UGUGGACCAUGAGGUGAUGGUGGAAGAUGUGGGCUUUCUGCAAGCUGUGGAGCUCCUUUUCGCCUUUAUUAUUGUUUAAACAUCCAGUAUGCCAAAGGUGCGGGAACCACACUUGAGUUCAUUCAGAGAUACCAAGUUGGUAUCAAACAACAUGAUGGGUCACGACAGGAGGCCGGGAGGUCGAAAGGAGCUCGGGCAAGAGCAAUCAAAGCCGCCACAGAUCUUGCUGCUUUUGAGAAAAAAUGGAACAGUCUCAUCUGAUGAUCGAUCGGAUGCCAUGAAGGUUUCUUUAUAAUUAUGUUCUUUUACGGUUUACAAUAUAGUUCUUCAAUUUCAAAACUGC